GCGUGGCCAGAGAGGGGGAGGCUCACGGCGGCGUGGCAGGUGUUCGGUGCCGCGCUGAACGUGUGUUGGUUGGCAGUACAGGUGUAAGGCACAUGUAACAUACUGCCUGAUAUUUAUACCGUCAGCACCUCUGCUGCCGCGACUACCUCACCUCCCUCCAAUCAAGGAACUGAGCAAAGUAUACUAUGAGAGUCACGUAGUCCCAUAGCUGGUGGAUACACAUAGUGUCUUGGUGGAACACUCCGUGUUUGUGGUAUUUGUGCAGUGUCGUUACAGACCUGACUAUGAAUGCGUAAGGUGAAGGCGUCCGCGACCCGGCAAAUCUAGCAGUGGUGGCCUGCUGGCGACGAAUGGAAGCAGCAACCGCGGCGGCAGUUCACCAGUCCGAUAACUGCAGCUGCGGCUUCAGUGUGCCUCCAGCUCGUGUGCCGUGAGGACGCAGCUCCCCGUAUAUCCGCACUCGCCGCGUUCCACCCACAACCUAUGCCUAUCCGCAGUCACGCCUGAGACGCAGCCCCGCUGUGCACCUCGUAAGACACUCGGUUUUGAGAAGGGACACCUGGAAAUAAGACGUGGGACUGGACUCGUCUGGCUGGGAGGCUGGUCGUCUUGAGAACGAGUCGAAAACAAAAGUAAAAAGAAAGAAAGGGAAAAGAAAAGGAAAAGAAAGGAAAGAGUGGGAGUCCAAGGAGAACACGACAGAAGGCAAGUAGUGAAUGAGUGGCGUGGAGGGAGGAGGGGUGAGCCGGGUGACGGGCGAGGCGCGUCGGGAAGUGUCAGCCCAAGCAGUGUGAACGGCAAGUGGAUGGGCCGUCAGCGCCGUGUCUGUGGCGGUGUGGAGGGCGGAGGUGACGUGGAAGAGGCGCAGCAGGCGGGGUGGCGCUCACUGGCAGCGCUCACGGGGUGGUGUUGACCCUCGGCCACGCCCUCUACCCGGCAGGUGGUGAUGUGUCCCCGGGGCUUGAUGACUCCGCUGACAGCCCUGCCCGUCGCCGCCGCCGCCCGCCGCCGCCGCCGCUGCCGCCGCCGCCGCCGCCGCCGCCGCUGCCGCUGCUGCUGCUGCUGCUGCCGCCCGCCGCCUCAACCACCAUCAGCACCAUCACCAACACCAAAACCAUCACCAUCAAAAUCACCACCGUAACCGCCACUACUACCACCAUCCCCCCGCCGUCGCCGCCGCCGCCGCCGCCACCACCACCACCACCACCAUACCCUCCACCUCCUCCUCUUCCUCCUCCUCCUCCUUCUUCGGCAACCCUUUGUUCUUUCAUCCCACGUUAUCAGUUCCCCACGCGACCCUCGGUCUCCCUGCUACCUGCCCCGCCACCCCAGCCUGCCAAAACAGCUCCCCGACGGCCGCCGUGCACGCGUCCCUCGUCCUGCGGGACACCAAAGCGUCAGUCGGCCCGGAAGCAUUACGGCCUCGCCUCAACAACCUGCGAGCGAAGGUCUUGAGAACUGAUCUGCUGGUGGCCACAAUCCCACGGUGAACUGAUUAUUGCUAUAGUGUUAACCUAUUGCCUAAUAGUUGCUAAGGUGUUUGUAAAUAUUGCUAGUACCACUGCUCCACUAUACAUUAUCCUCGUUGCUUUUGUUCAGCCAUUAGAGACGAAAAAGUAAAGUUCUAGUUUUCUACUGCCAGUGUUUAUUAGAUAUAUCCGAAUGUGAUGACCAAGUGCCCUUUCAGAAGUGCCUCAUUUUAUUAUAAAGAAUCUAAAGCGUCGUGGCGUGUGUCGGGUGUGUCGCCUCGAGGAGUGUUCCAAGAACUGAGCUCAGUGUUGACUUCAGAUCGUGAGUAAACGUGGAACAUCAUCCAAAGAUAAUGAUUUAGAAAGAGAGAGAGAGAGAGAGAGAGAGAGAGAGAGAGGAAGAGAGAGAGAGAGAGAGAGAGAGAGAGAGAGAGAGAGAGAGAGAGCAGUCGCACUGCCUGAACUCUGGCUUAGGUCGAGAAUCUCCUCGUUGGUGUGUCAGCCACAAAAGUGUUUUUUAGUUUAGUGCGUUUAUUUCUUUGAUAAUCUCAUUAAGGCAAAAAAAGUAAAUAAAAAAAAUCCCUCCAUAGAGCCACAUCGUGUUCACACUUGAAACUGUUCGAAUCUUGAGUCGUAAUUAACGCAGAUGAGUACCUUCUAAUUUAAGUUCCUGGACGUUUAUCUUUUUUUCUCCCGUCGUUGUCGGUUCCUUGACACAUUGGAAGGGACGGCUCGCGUCAGUCAUGCGUCCUAGACCCUUAGUGAGGUUCGUGCGCCAGCGACUUUGAAAAGGCUGGAAGUCAUAGGCAAAAAGAGGGGGAAAAAAAGCGGGACAGAAACAUAAACUCGCGUACGAAGUGACAGAGAGCAACGAGGGCAGUCCAGUAGCGCCGCGGUGGACAGGAAAGAAAAAGUGAAGGGAACCUCAAAAGGGAGAAAAAUCAUCUGUAAGUGCGUAACAAAAAAUAAGGAAGAGUGGUCGUAAAAAGUAGGAAGAGAGACGAGGAUUGACUCUAAGAAGGGCAGAGCAAAGCGUGGUGCAGAGGAGGCCGAGGGAGAGAGAGAAGAAAAAAAAACGAGGGAGAUAAGAGGAAAAUUUAAUGAGGCAAAGAAAAGAAUACAAGGGAAGGAGGAAAACAACCUGAAAAAAAAAAGUUAAUAAACCACCGACACCAACAAAAGAAUCCCAGGUAAAAGCAAGGAAGAAUAGAGAUAGAGAGAGAGAAAAACUAAGUAUACUUAGGAAAACAUUGAGCGAAGGCGUAGAGCGGAUACAAGAAAGGAAGGAAGAGAGUAAGGAAGGAGAGAGAGAAAGGCAGGAAAGAAAAGGAAAAGCAAAUCAGAAAGGUGCUCGAUCUGGCGUGAGUGCGUGCGUGCGUGCGUGACCCUUACCAGUGUGAGUGAGGCGACCUGCUGAUCUGACCUUCACCCAAGCUGGCCCGCCUCCAUAAUGGCUGCCAAUCAAAGGUGAGCGUGUGUGGAUGUGUGGAGGACAUGCAGGGAGGACGCCGCCGGUCUCAGACCAGGAUCUCAGGCAAGACUUCAUAGCCGCUCUCGCUGUUGUUGACGAGCUUGGGUCCUUGGCUGAAGGUCCACCGCCAGCCUUCCUAACGUGUCGUGCCUGUACAACAUCGCUGUCGUGGUGCUGGGAACACAAGUGGACGCGGGAUUACAAGAAUUUUGCUUUUCGUGGAGAGAACAAAAUGACGCAUUCAAAGUUUUUGGAUAGUUCAUUAUGUAGAGACUACAUAUCUUUCCACUUCUGAACCACAUCAAUUCCUGAAACGAGUUUCAUCUUGUAAUUGUUCUUUAUCAUUUGAUCUGCGCACGCACGCACGCACCCACGCACGCACGCACACACGCACACACACACACACACACACACACACACACACACACACACACACACACACACACACACACACACACACACACACACGUAUUAAUGAGUCUUCCGUUAUAUGUACUGAUUAGAUAAAAAAUAAUAUACAACCAGAUGAAUAUUUACGUCUCGUUUGUUACGGAGUUCCAAUUACCAAGCCUCAGCCGACGGGCUAGCAGGCUCCUUGGGCUUGCCUUGCCUCACUUCAGUACUGAUCACUAAAAAAAAAGAUAAUAGACCCUGUAUCUGAGUGGAUGUCUUGCUUUAUUUAUUUAUUUUCCGCAUUGUUUAAUUUUUUUUUAUCUUCAAUCCGAUUGCAACAGUGUUCCUUCGGGAUCCCCCUCCCCUCCACAACUGCAGCUACCACGCCUUCUCCUCUCCUCUCGGCCCGUGCUUCACACCCCCUCCCUCUCCACAAUGUCUCCAGUUUUUGGAGAAGCGCCUCCUGAAAUCUUUGAUGCCUCUUUCAAGGUCCAUAUUUUGAAAUGCUUUGGACUUCCAUUACAAAAAGCCACAGAUUAUUAAUGGGGCUAUCAUGGGUGUUCUUCCUCUCCACAUUGACGGUGCAGUAGUUGCCGGUAAACUUUCAUUAGAAUGACGAAAAUCAUUCUUGAAAAUUUCAAUAACUUCUACCAGGUCCCUUUAAAAGUACACUCUGUAUAAGAUGCUGAAGUGUUUGAUAGUACUGUCUUAAAUGUGAAAGAGGCAGUAGACUCUUGUAAGUCACUCCCAGGAAGAUUCGUAUAAGGGGAUGACAAGGUGCUGCAAGUCUGCAGUCUUGGUGGAGUGACUCCAGGCGAUGUUCCAAAAUCCAGACAGGGAGUGCGUGAGAGUUGGGUGUCCAUCACAAAACCACAGCCCUUCUGGACAGGGAAUCAUAUGACUAAAGCUCAUUCGAGGUUUAAGCGAAUGAAGUUUGCCUUGUUAAAUACAAAGAAAAAAAUGUUUAUAUAGUAUUGAUAUCUUCUGAUUAUAAUAAAUUAAAAUCACUUUGAAAAUACAUACUAUAUCUGAUGAUGUUCAGUUGAUGCACGUCUAGCAAUGUAGGUCACAUGUUAAUGAACAGUGAUCAGAGGACAUUGUACAUUUUCUUGGUCUUCUGCUUUUAUGCACACACACACACACACACACACACACACACACACACACACACACACACACACACACACACACACACACACACACACACACACACACACACACACACACACACACACACACACACACACACACACACACACACACGGAGAGAAAGGUCAUUGACUUAAAUAAACAAUGCACUGAGUACACUGUGAACUGAAUGAUAAAAGUUCAGAGAGGAAAAAUAUAUUGAUGUUGGAAAAUAAUUUUGUAGUGCAGUGAACUAUUCUUUUACUGUGAUGAUGGAGAGCAAAAUUUAGGAAUUGGUGGAAGAAGUUUCAUGGACGGAUAAUUAUCAUGUAACAAUGAGAAAACUUUCCAUGCACAUUUCGGCUGUUGUACGCUUCACGUGUAAUACAUACUGUACUUUAUGGUAGCGAAACUUGAUCUGAAGAUAGGCCUGAGGGUGUUGAUGUGGAAGUGUCAUGCCAAAGUGAGAGCUGAAAGCCGAGUGAGUUGACUUGUGGAGUAAUGGUGACAAGAGGGUUGUCUUCUUGAAUUGGCCCUGAAAAGUAGAAUGAGAAUGACGGUUUGCUGUGGGGUUAAGUAUUUUUGAACCGAAAGUAGAGCGUCAGCGGGUAGACCAAAGACUGGAGUGAAGUUCUGAAGAUGAAUCUAGUAAACACAACUUUGCACAGGCCGUGUACAUAACCAUGCAGGCUGGAGAGCUGUCACCAGGCAACAAAGGUGAUGGAGAUGAGAUGAAAGUUUUCGAAGGGAAGGAAAGACUCAGUGUUUGCUAAACUUUUAUUAAUAGAUUUAUAAGUCUGAUAAGGUUGUAAUGGACAGGUACAUCGUAUUAGAGCCACAAAAAACCCUGAGGGAUAAUGUGAAAAAUCCUAAGCUCUAUGAUUAUUGGUAAACUUGCGAGCAAAUAGUAUUGUUAGCCUUGAUUAGCAACCAGCUUCCAAAUGAAACUGAAGAUCCAUACAGAGUACUCUAGACCACUUAGUAGCGUCACACUCCUGGGUUUAGGUAAAGAUAUAGAGGUUAGAAUUAUUAUGUUUUAUGUGGAAAUUUCAUGUACCUUUGUGAACGGUGUAGGCGUCGAUGUGAAAGAAUGUUAAGAUUAUUAGGAUUUCGAAAUUGUAUUCUGUCUGAAGAUGACUGCUAAUAGUUGUAUAACGUUAUUGUAAUAGUGUGUAUUUGAAAUAUCAUUGUGUGUGUGUGUGUGUGUGUGUGUAUGUAGAAAAUAUCCAUAAGGAGAGUGACGACACCCUCUACGUAAUACCUUCGCACUACAGCCCCUCGGAGGAUGUGUGUUGUGGAGGCGCCGCCCGGAGCUCGGUGGUCCGGACCUGGAAGCUGACACACCCUUAACCUACUUCCUGGGAGACAGAUGCUUAAAGAGAAACUUCAUCAUUCACUACCUGACAGUUAUUCAUGUAUAAAAAAAAAAAAAAAAAACUGCAAAUCAGCUAUCGAUAUUUGUAUUAAUUUCACGGCAUGAUAAUCGGUAGACGACGACCCUCGUUCGUGCCUGGGGUGUGAAGGAGAGGGAAGAGAGGGGCAGGCGAAGAGGGAAGCAGUUGUUAAUUUUGAUGACUAGCAGUUUCACAAGGAAGGAGGUGAGGUCAGCGAUUUGUUUGUCAAGAUCGCUCACUGUUCAAAGCUGCUGCCUGUCUUCGCGGCUGUUGCUCUAGCUUUGGUCACGAGGGUGCCUUUAGGGCCUUCAUGCCGCGUCGCCUCCGUUACUUUGUUGCCUAAGAUAAUACUCCUUAUUGUUUUUUUUUAGAUAGAUGAAGAUCUAGGUAAAAAGAAUGGUAAGUAAAAAUCAUUAUCUCCAAACAGAAAAAUGAGAGGUGGAUUAAAAGAUUUAUGUCAAUUUAUUUUUUUGGUAAGGUUUGAGUCUCCUCUUCUGAAUCAGUUCUAGUGCUAGCUGUAAGAAAGAAAAAACACAUUAUAUUCCAGUGGUUACUAGUAAAGAAAUAUACAAAGUUCAUUUCAUUCCUUUGAGGUUUUGUGGUGGCAAUCAAGUGAGCAGCUGCAGGAAGAUGUAAAUGUAAUGGCGAGAGCCUCCUUUGGUGGCAGGAAGGAAAUAACGACACCUUCAUGUACAUUUUUCAUCACGUGUGAGGGCUUUACUAGGUCAGUUAAUCCAUGUUAGACGAUUUACAGUCUGUCCCUGCGUGCCGUGCUACAUAGCCAGUCUCCUGGGCUAUGCUGGACACCUGGAGUGCAUAACGUGACACUUGGCCACACACGACACGCGCACAUCCGCCCCCACCCCCUCCACACACACACACACACACACACACACACACACACACACACACACACACACACACACACACACACACACACACACACACACACACACACACACACACACACACACACACCUUCCUCGGCUCGUGAGUGCAGGAAGCAGGAAGUUGGCAGCAGUAUCGAUUUCCGGGCCGCGUAAGUGUUUGGGUAGCAAGUUGACCAUCAUCUGUAUUGUUGUGCUGCACUUCAAACCUUAUUACGGGAAAAUGGAGCACUUUGUUGCUGUUUACAUUCCUCCCUAGUGUAGACCUGUCGGAUUAGUGAUGACCCUGUCUGUGUUGGUGCAUUACCCUUGGGAAACGCGGAGGUGAUAAACCGGGCACCAAAUCACCGACUUCGUCAUAUACAGUCCACAGGGGCACGUGAAGGCCACGCUCCCGACAGGCAAAAACCUUGAAGAAAGCAAUAAAGACGAAGGCAGGUUUUCACACCAGAUCAGGCACAUCCUUCUAUUCCUCGCCAUCACAAGGAAGGAAGGAUUUAUGUUGGUGUAUAUCCUAAGUUUCAUAACGGAAGGUGUGGUGUAUCAGUUAAGUGGCAUCUUAGGGCUAGGUGCUUAUUUUGCGCCACCAUGAGGAGGUAUGGUUGUUCAUUAGUCAUUGCUGUAGGAGAGAGUGUGGACUUAGGCAGUGCGCGGCAGUGAGGGAGGACGGGAGGAAGUGAAGAAGGAAGGGAGGAAUGGAAGGGGUGGUGCUGAUGAUUUCUGCUUAUAACGGUCCUGUUCAAUCGAUGAAAGUUACAGCUGAUUGCCCCGUCGCAUCGGAAGUCCCCACAGCCUGAGCGGUGAGGCGCAGGUCAGGUCGUCGCCUUGCUGCAACCAUCCCUACACCAUUAGGCUCUUACUGUUAUCAUCGCAACACUGCAUUAGUAACUUGCUGCCUGUAAUAGUGCGCCGAGACCGAGGCGAGCCACCCAACCUGAUCCUGUUGACCAGCCUGUCCGGGAAAACACACACACACACACACACACCGUGUGAGAUUGCUUCAACUGUAGACACUCUUGAACUCUUUGGCUUCAAGAAUGUCAACAAGACGGCUCAUGACAGUUUAAUAUCAUCGGACGCAUUCUUUCGUCUGUUUUCUUUAAUUCUCGCAGCUCUGCUUGGUUGGAUCGUCUUGGCCUGAAGGAAGAUAGCCUGGUAGUAAGUGUGUCUCCUGCUGCCGACUCUUGCGCAGGCGCUGAGUGAGUGAGGCAUAGUUCGUUGACAUCUUGACGGAAGAAUUUCCUUAACUAAUUUGUUUUUGAGACUGCCAGUCACUCGUCUCAAUGUCGGUGAACUGUGUCCAGCGUUCCCAUUGACCAAGAUAGACUUGUCCAGUGACCAGAAUACACUUGCCCGCCGCCUCGCUUCCUUCGUUCCUUGUUAUCGGGGAAAAAAUGUAGAAAUCUAUAUCGGUCUUGCCCUCGGGACCUCCCUGCAGCUCACAUUUGACAGGAAAACUUGGGGACGCUGGAGACCCCGCCUCUUUGAACGGAUAGAUCAAAGAAAUAACAAGUUUUGGCGUGGCAAUUCAGCUUACUGGUAUCUCCUUUCCCCGAACCAUGGCUGGGGCUUACUAUUUUCUUGUCUCUCAUCCACGACCCUUUCCUAAGGUCUGGAGAAUCAUGAUGAUUUAUAACUCAGGGCGGGUCAGGAUAUCAUGUAUAUUGUUCUCAUAAUUUUACCGCUGGGGCAGGGAGCGUGGAGGAAGGGAGAUGCAUCAAAUCUUAUCAAAAACGCACAAAGCCCAAUAGUGUUGGCCGCGCGACUGGUGAUUGGUGGGACGAUAACAUCACAGUGAGGGGCCGACUAACUGCUCAGGAUUAUAGUGUCCGUGUCUCUUGAUUAUAAUGCCGGGAGCAAUGGCCAGUAUCAAGGUAUGGAGGGCCACGCUGCUUCCCGCCAGCCCCGCCAUGCCCGCCCGUUCACCACCCGGCAGUAAGACUUGCUUUCCCCACCACGCCUCUGGGUCCACCUGCCUUAUCCACCCUCGUCGCCUGGCAUUGUCUGUACUCUAAUCACUGAUUUCACGGCGAGAAAGUUCUCUUCCCGGCGUCAUGUAACUCCGUGAUGACUGUGAGGGCUGGAAGUCGUGCGAACCACCAUUUAGCUCCUCGAUUCUCUCACUCUCGGCCCUCCCGAAGCAUUCUUGUGUUAUGAUUUACCCGCUGGCGAACGAAGGAAAGGCAAGAAAGUAUGAUGUCAAUUUGCCGGCCACUCGCUCGUGUGUGUUCAGUUUUCUUGAUCUUUUAAU